rnacentral:rRNA from 1 species
AGAACGAACGCUGGCGGCAGGCCUCAAACAUGCAAGUCUAGGGGGUGUAGCAAUACAUCACCGGCGGACGGGUGCGUAACACGUGGGAAUAUACCUUUUGGUUCGGAACAACGCAGGGAAACUUGCGCUAAUACCGAAUGUGCCCUUACGGGGAAAGAUUUAUCGCCAAAGGAUUAGCCCGCGUCCGAUUAGCUAGUUGGUGAGGUAAUGGCUCACCAAGGCUCCGAUCGGUAGCUGUUCUGAGAGGAAGAUCAGCCACACUGGGACUGAGACACGGCCCAGACUCCUACGGGAGGCAGCAGUUGGGAAUCUUGGACAAUGGGGAAACCCUGAUCCAGCCAUGCCGCGUGAGUGAUGAAGGCCUUCGGGUUGUAAACUCUUUCGACGGGGACAUAAUGACGGUACCCGUAGAAGAAGCUCCGGCUAACUUCGUGCCAGCAGCCGC